rnacentral:tRNA from 1 species
GCGUCGGUAUGCAAAUGGCUGAAGCAAGCCGCCCGUAAAGCGGUCACGACCGAAACGCUGGAGGUUCGAAUCCUUCCCGGCGCA